rnacentral:lncRNA from 10 species
UCUUUUGGCCAGGUGUGGUGGUUCACACCUGAAAUCUCAGCACUUUGGGAGGCCGAGGUGGGUGGAUCACUUGAGUCCAGGAGUUCAAGAUCAGCCUAGGUAACAUGGCAAAACCUCGUCUCUACCAAAAACAAACAAAAAUUAGCCAGAUGUGGUGGUGCACACCUGUAGUCCCAGCUACUUGGGAGGCUGAGGCAGGAGAAUCACCUGAGACCGGGAGGCAGAGAUUGCAGAGAACUGAGACUAUGCCAAGGCACUCCAGCCUGGGUGACAGAGCAAGACUCUC